GGCGAACGCUGGCGGCGUGCUUAACACAUGCAAGUCGAACGGAAAGGCCCCCAUCUUGGUGGGGGUGCUCGAGUGGCGAACGGGUGAGUAACACGUGGGUGAUCUGCCCUGUACUUCGGGAUAAGCUUGGGAAACUGGGUCUAAUACCGGAUAGGACCAUGGUUUAGUGUCUCAUGGUGGAAAGAUUAUUGUUUUGGUGCAGGAUGAGCUCGCGACCUAUCAGCUUGUUGGUGGGGUAAUGGCCUACCAAGGCGUCGACGGGUAGCCGGCCUGAGAGGGUGGACGGCCACAUUGGGACUGAGAUACGGCCCAGACUCCUACGGGAGGCAGCAGUGGGGAAUAUUGCACAAUGGGCGCAAGCCUGAUGCAGCGACGCCGCGUGGGGGAUGACGGCCUUCGGGUUGUAAACUCCUUUCGUUAGGGACGAAGCCGCACUUUUUUUGGGUGUGGUGACGGUACCUUUGUUAAGAAGCACCGGCUAACUACGUG
rnacentral:rRNA from 1 species